rnacentral:tRNA from 1 species
GGGCUUAUAUUAUAACGGUUAUUAUUUUCGGCUGGCAGUCGAAAGAUUCGGGUUCGAUUCCCGGUGAGUCCA